rnacentral:rRNA from 1 species
GACGAACGCUGGCGGCGUGCUUAACACAUGCAAGUCGAACGGAAAGGCCCUGCUUUUGUGGGGUGCUCGAGUGGCGAACGGGUGAGUAACACGUGAGUAACCUGCCCUUGACUUUGGGAUAACUUCAGGAAACUGGGGCUAAUACCGGAUAGGAGCUCCUGCUGCAUGGUGGGGGUUGGAAAGUUUCGGCGGUUGGGGAUGGACUCGCGGCUUAUCAGCUUGUUGGUGGGGUAGUGGCUUACCAAGGCUUUGACGGGUAGCCGGCCUGAGAGGGUGACCGGCCACAUUGGGACUGAGAUACGGCCCAGACUCCUACGGGAGGCAGCAGUGGGGAAUAUUGCACAAUGGGCGGAGGCCUGAUGCAGCAACGCCGCGUGCGGGAUGACGGCCUUCGGGUUGUAAACCGCUUUCGCCUGUGACGAAGCGUGAGUUACGGUAAUGGGUAAAGAAGCACCGGCUAACUACGUG